UACGGAGGAUGCGAGCGUUAUCCGGAUUUACUGGGUGUAAAGGGAGCGUAGACGGCGAUGCAAGCCAGAUGUGAAAGCCCGGGGCUCAACCCCGGGACUGCAUUUGGAACUGUGUGGCUGGAGUGUCGGAGAGGCAGGCGGAAUUCCUAGUGUAGCGGUGAAAUGCGUAGAUAUUAGGAGGAACACCAGUGGCGAAGGCGGCCUGCUGGACGAUGACUGACGUUGAGGCUCGAAAGCGUGGGGAGCAAACAGG
rnacentral:rRNA from 1 species